AUUGAACGCUGGCGGCAGGCUUAACACAUGCAAGUCGAGCGGAGAUGAGGUGCUUGCACCUUAUCUUAGCGGCGGACGGGUGAGUAAUGCUUAGGAAUCUGCCUAUUAGUGGGGGACAACAUUCCGAAAGGAAUGCUAAUACCGCAUACGCCCUACGGGGGAAAGCAGGGGAUCUUCGGACCUUGCGCUAAUAGAUGAGCCUAAGUCGGAUGAGCUAGUUGGUGGGGUAAAGGCCUACCAAGGCGACGAUCUGUAGCGGGUCUGAGAGGAUGAUCCGCCACACUGGGACUGAGACACGGCCCAGAGUCCUACGGGAGGCAGCAGUGGGGAAUAUUGGACAAUGGGCGGAAGCCUGAUCCAGCCAUGCCGCGUGUGUGAAGAAGGCCUUUUGGUUGUAAAGCACUUUAAGCGAGGAGGAGGCUACCUGGAUUAAUACUCUAGGAUAGUGGACGUUACUCGCAGAAUAAGCACCGGCUAACCCUGUGCCAGCAGCCGCCGUAAGAC
rnacentral:rRNA from 1 species